UCCCUGAUGGACGGGGAAGUCUUCUUUGUGU
rnacentral:piRNA from 1 species